rnacentral:rRNA from 1 species
GCGUUGUCCGAAAUCACUGGGCGUAAAGAGCUCGUAGGCGGUCUGUUAAGUCAGGGGUGAAGCCCCGGGGCUCAACCCCGGGCCUGCCUCUGAAACUGGGAGACUUGAGUACCCUAGAGGACAGUGGAAUUGCCGGUGUAGCAGUGAAAUGCGUAGAGAUCGGCAGGAACACCAGUGGCGAAGGCGACUGUCUGGGGGGAAACUGACGCUGAGGCGCGAAAGCUGGGGGAGCA